GUUUCCAAAUAUUGCACAAUGGGGGAAACCCUGAUGCAGCCAUGCCGCGUGUGUGAAGAAGGCCUUCGGGUUGUAAAGCACUUUCAGCGAGGAGGAAAGGUUGGUAGCGAAUAACUGCCAGCUGUGACGUUACUCGCAGAAGAAGCACCGGCUAACUCCGUGCCAGCAGCCGCGGUAAUACGGAGGGUGCAAGCGUUAAUCGGAAUUACUGGGCGUAAAGCGCACGCAGGCGGUUGGAUAAGUUAGAUGUGAAAGCCCCGGGCUCAACCUGGGAAUUGCAUUUAAAACUGUCCAGCUAGAGUCUUGUAGAGGGGGGUAGAAUUCCAGGUGUAGCGGUGAAAUGCGUAGAGAUCUGGAGGAAUACCGGUGGCGAAGGCGGCCCCCUGGACAAAGACUGACGCUCAGGUGCGAAAGCGUGGGGAGCAAA
rnacentral:rRNA from 1 species